AGAGUUUGRUCUGGCUCCGGACGAACGCUGGCGGCGUGCUUAACACAUGARWGUCGAGCGGAAAGGCCCUUCGGGGUACUCGAGCGGCGAACGGGUGAGUAACACGUGAGCAACCUGCCCCUGGCUCUGGGAUAGCCUCCGGAAACGGGGAUUAAUACCGGACAUUCACUUCCUUCCGCAUGGUUGGUGGUGGAAAGUUUUUUCGGCCAGGGAGGGGCUCGCGGCCUAUCAGCUUGUUGGCGGGGUAACGGCCCACCAAGGCGACGACGGGUAGCCGGCCUGAGAGGGCGACCGGCCACACUGGGACUGAGACACGGCCCAGACUCCUACGGGAGGCAGCAGUGGGGAAUAUUGCGCAAUGGGCGAAAGCCUGACGCAGCGACGCCGCGUGGGGGAUGAAGGCCUUCGGGUUGUAAACCCCUUUCACCAGGAGCGAAAUCAGACGGUACCUGGGGAAGAAGCGCCGGCUAACUACGUGCCAGCAGCCGCGGUAAUACGUAGGGCGCAAGCGUUGUCCGGAUUUAUUGGGCGUAAAGAGCUCGUAGGCGGCCUGUCGCGUCCGCUGUGAAAUCCUGGGGCUUAACCCCGGGCGUGCAGUGGAUACGGGCUGGCUAGAGGCAGGCAGGGGAGAACGGAAUUCCCGGUGUAGCGGUGAAAUGCGCAGAUAUCGGGAGGAACACCGGUGGCGAAGGCGGUUCUCUGGGCCUGUUCUGACGCUGAGGAGCGAAAGCGUGGGGAGCGAACAGGAUUAGAUACCCUGGUAGUCCACGCCGUAAACGUUGGGCGCUAGGUGUGGGCCCCUUCCACGGGGUCUGUGCCGCAGCUAACGCAUUAAGCGCCCCGCCUGGGGAGUWCGGCCGCMAGGCUWAAACUCAAAGGAAUGGA
rnacentral:rRNA from 1 species